rnacentral:lncRNA from 1 species
GAAAGCUGUCUGUGGGCCUCCUUCCUGCUCAAGUUCCUAGAACGAACUGCCGCCUAGCCCUGUCCACAGGAAGUAAAUGAAUUCCAGAGGCUACUCUCUAUGUCACUUCCUCUGCCUCACAAGUGCCAAUGGUGGCUCAAGCUUGGCUUAGGACAGCCCAGGUGGGCAGUUAGUUAUUUCUGAUUUGUCAUUGACUAGCACAUGCCCAUGUAGUGUGGGUGUGCACAAUUUUGGGUGCUAGACCAAGCAAGAUAGAGAUUCAAAAAUCAUAGUCUUUAGUAGCUAUGGCUAUAACACCUGCAGGAACAGUUGCUAGGCUACAUCUUCACAGAGAUUGUUUGCCAAGAUGUUGGUUAUGAACGCUUUUUUGGAAGUAUUGCUAUUACCAAGGCUUUUGGCUUUAGGAGUCCUGGCUAUGUCUACUGGGAUCUGAGGGAAGAUGAUGAUCAAGGUUGGAGUAGUAAUGGUUUGACUAGUAUGACACCUACUGCCUCCUGAACCUCCCUCAGGAUGCUUUGGUGCCUCAGCCAAAUUGGCUCUCUCAUGCAGUACAGUAGUUGGUGGAGAAGGCUGGCCUCUUUGCCACAAAAACUGCUUCCCUCCUGUGAAGAUUGGAUUUGGCUAUCUCCUGAUUGUAACAAUGAAGAAUCAACAGUUGAAGAUAUUGGCUUUGACACAAAUUAGUGAUUUAUUUACUAUAAAGAUAAUUGCCCAUAAGGAAAUUGAUUGAUGAAGAUUGGCACCUGCUCUACCACUAGCUUAACUGAUUUUCCCAGGAAUCCGCAGCCAAGUUACUUUCCCCCCAAAUCUCCCUGACAUCAAAGCUGCUAGGAUGAGGUAAUGAAGGAUGAAGAAAGGGUCCACUUCCUCCAUUUUACAAACUGAAGGAAACUGAAGAUCAACAGUUUACGAUGUGGAGGUGGGGUUGGAACGUGGUUGUCCUUAUUGUAAUAUUCAAUGCCUCUAAUUUACUACCCUCCCAACUUAUCAUAUUGGGGGCCCUACAUAACACUUUUGAAAGAGAAGAAAUGUGUUUAAUAAUGAAAUUUUGCUUUAUUUAAUUUGGUUGCUCC